UGCUCCCCAGCUGUGUUCCACAAUCGUAUCAUUUCGCCUGAUGCGACAACUGAGGCAAUGAUACUUGGGAAGAGAAUCGGGGCGCACUGAGCUCAAGUAGUCAACACGCGUGUGUCUACACAGAGAUGACGGCUACGCUCGACGCCAGUAUUCCCGCCGUCGAAGGACUACACUCGACGAAGCAAGUGCGCCUGAAGCUCGGCAACAUGAAGAAACGUUAUCGGAAACUCAGGCGCACCGCAACCACAACCCGCUCGAAAGCCCCCUCCUGGCCGUUCUACCGGUGUCUGCUUGGCUUCCUCGGAGCACUACCGAUCGACGAUAGUGCACUACCGAAUACUCAUCAAGAUGGGCUAUCUGAUCAUAUCAUAACACGUAGUCUUACAGUUUCCCUUCCAAGACGUGCAGCAAGUGAAUGAACUGCCAAAUUGUGGAGAAGCCAUUGCAUCAUGGGGUGAUGGCGAUAUAUCGGCUAAGGAGAGCAGUGUUUGCCAACUAAGCAUUACUCAGGAGCCUCCCACUGACAGCUCAGCUCCAGAGCCUUCUACACACAGCCCAUAGUCUGGGGUAACAAAUGACCUGUAUGCCAGAGAAGACAGCCAUUGUGCCAGCAGCAAUACCAAAUGAAGGAAGAGGCCUGCGCCGACAAACUUCGAAGGACUCGUAAGCUUACACAAGCAAGCGGAACAACGAGCAGCGCAAGCUUCUAAAAAACUUCAAGCUUCAAAAGACGUUCAUCAAGUUGCAAGUAUAAUCUAAUGACAUGCACGCAAGCAUGAUUAGAAUUCUGAAGAAGUAUCUUGUACCAAGUGAUAAAUAAAAGGUGAUAAAUAUAGCACAAAACAAAUAUUCACUCAUCUCUGAAACAUUACACAACACGAUUUCCUAGUGAAGGGAAGUGGCAUUCGAGGGCCUCGCUGACCAGCCAUGCAUUGACGGAGAACAACCUUCCAGAGACCUAGCCACGGCAAAGCUAAUACAAAGCUACAGGAACAGCAGCACUUCCAAUUUAUAACCACAUGACAAAACAGGACGAAAUUGAUCAGAUUUUCCAACACUGCACAAACAACU